AUUGAACGCUGGCGGCAGGCCUAACACAUGCAAGUCGAGCGGGGUUUUCGGACCUAGCGGCGGACGGGUGAGUAAUGCGUAGGAAGCUGCCCGAUAGAGGGGGAUACCAGUUGGAAACGACUGUUAAUACCGCAUAAUGUCUACGGACCAAAGUGUGGGACCCUCGGGCCACAUGCUAUCGGAUGCGCCUACGUGGGAUU
rnacentral:rRNA from 1 species